rnacentral:tRNA from 1 species
GUAGAGAUGGCUCAGCAGUUGAGAGCGCUGGCUGCUCUUCAGAAGACCUGGGUUCAAUUCCCUGCACCUAUA